UACGAAGGGUGCAAGCGUUACUCGGAAUUACUGGGCGUAAAGCGUGCGUAGGUGGUUUGUUAAGUCUGAUGUGAAAGCCCCGGGCUCAACCUGGGAAUGGCGAUGGAUACUGGCGAGCUAGAGUACGGUAGAGGAGAGUGGAAUUCCCGGUGUAGCAGUGAAAUGCGUAGAGAUCAUGAGGAAGACCAGUGGCGAAGGCGGGUCUCUGGACAGUUCCUGACACUGGGACACGAAGGCCAGGGGAGCAAACGGG
rnacentral:rRNA from 1 species